GCUCCGGUGGCCUAGUGGUUAGAGCGUCCGCCUCGGAUGCGGUAGGUCGUGGGUUCGAUCUCCGGUCGAAUCA